AAGGAGAGGCAAAGAAGUGGUA
rnacentral:sRNA from 1 species